rnacentral:rRNA from 1 species
UAGGGAAUAUUAGAAAUGGACGAAAGUCUGAUCUAGCAACACCGCGUGUGCGAAGAAGGCCUUCGGGUCGUAAAGCACUUUUGGAAGGAAUAGGAAGGAAUGUACUUCCAGAAUAAGUCUCGGCUAACUCGUGCCAGCAGCCGCGGUAAUACGAGUGGUGCAAGCGUUAUUCGGAAUCAUUGGGCGUACAGGGUGUGUAGGCGGCAUGUUAAGUCUGUUGUUAAAGACUCCGGCCUAACCGGAGACAGGCAGCGGAAACUGGCGUGCUAGAGGGUGGAAGAGAGAAGUGGAAUUCUCGGUGUAGCGGUAAAAUGCGUAGAUAUCGAGAGGAACACCGAUGGCGAAGGCAGCUUCUUGGUCCAUUCCUGACGCUGAAACACGAAAGCGUGGGGAGCAAACA